GGGGCUGAUUCUGGAUUCGACGGGAUUUGCGAAACCCAAGGUGCAUGCCGAGGGGCGGUUGGCCUCGUAAAAAGCCGCAAAAAAAUAGUCGCAAACGACGAAACCUACGCUUUAGCAGCUUAAUAACCUGCUUAGAGCCCUCUCUCCCUAGCCUCCGCUCUUAGGACGGGGAUCAAGAGAGGUCAAACCCAAAAGAGAUCGCGCGGAUGCCCUGCCUGGGGUUGAAGCGUUAAAACGAAUCAGGCUAGUCUGGUAGUGGCGUGUCCGUCCGCAGGUGCCAGGCGAAUGUAAGGACUGACUAAGCAUGUAGUACCGAGGAUGUAGGAAUUUCGGACGCGGGUUCAACUCCCGCCAGCUCCACCA
rnacentral:tmRNA from 1 species